rnacentral:rRNA from 1 species
AGCCUUAAGUAAUAUUUAAGGUGAGCCCUGCCCAGUGAGCAUUUUCUUUAACGGCCGCAGUACCUUGACUGUGCUAAGGUAGCGUAAUCAGUUGGCUUUUAAAUGGGGUCGAGAAUGAACGGGUUUAAUGUGGAUUAGCUGUCUCUUACUUAAUUAAUUGAAUUUACUAAUAGGGUGAAAAUUCCCUUGUAUAGAAAAAAGACGAGAAGACCCUUAGAGUUUUUAAAUAAAAAUGUUAAGUUGCAUUACCUUUUUUGUUGGGGCGACAAUGGGACAUAUUUUAUAAUAAACUCCCUUUUAAGUAAAAUAGUUYGACGAUUUAUAAGAAAGAUUAAACUACCUUAGGGAUAACAGCAUAAUGUUUUACUAAGCUUGUGACCUCGAUGUUGGACUAGGAACUAUAUGACUAGCAGUCAAAAUAGAAUUGUUCUGUUCGAACUUUAUUUCCU